rnacentral:rRNA from 1 species
AUUGAACGCUGGCGGCAGGCCUAACACAUGCAAGUCGAACGGUAACAGGAAACGGCUUGCUGUUUCGCUGACGAGUGGCGGACGGGUGAGUAAUGUCUGGGAAACUGCCUGAUGGAGGGGGAUAACUACUGGAAACGGUAGCUAAUACCGCAUAACGUCGCAAGACCAAAGAGGGGGACCUUCGGGCCUCUUGCCAUCGGAUGUGCCCAGAUUGGAUUAGCUAGUAGGUGGGGUAACGGCUCACCUAGGCGACGAUCCCUAGCUGGUCUGAGAGGAUGACUAGCCACACUGGAACUGAGACACGGUCCAGACUCCUACGGGAAGCCGCAGUGGGGAAUAUUGCACGAUGGGCGAAAGCCUGAUGCAGCCAUGCCGCGUGUAUGAAGAUGUCCUUCGGGUUGUAAAGUACUGUCAGCGGGGAUGAAGGGAGUAAAGUUAAUACCUUUGCUCAUUGACGUUACCCGCAGAAGAAGCACCGGCUAACUCCGUG